rnacentral:lncRNA from 1 species
AGACAGAGAACAUGUGGAGAGAAAGAUCAUAGUGAAUGAACUACCAUAUGGAGAGUGAAGCCACAUGGAAGAGAACCACAUUGCCCCAGUUUGACAGUAACAGCAAAGCUCCAUUUAUUGAGAAUGAAGCAAUCUUUGAUCUCUUAGCCCUAAUCAAGUCACCCCAGCUGACAUCACAUGGAGUAGAGACAAGCCAUCCCCACUGAGCCCCAAAUAUCCAACCAACAAAACUCACUGAAUGGAUCCCCAGUGUCUAACUGUGUAAAACAGCUGAGACGUCACUGCUUUCCAAUCUCUUGAAGGACAAGUGCUCAUCUUGGCUCACCUUGGAACCCACUUCAGAACCCAGGGGAAGUGUUAUGCAGGAAUUAUAAUAUGGGUCUUCUGUCAGAGCUCUACAGCUCCUAAACCAAGGUAUCACAUAUCUUCAAGACUGCUGAAUACUGGAAGCAAAAAAAAACCCCACGAAUUUUGCAGGCUACCUGCAAGAUGAGGAGACAGGAGAAGCAGCAGAAGAAAGGAACCAGAUUUCCUGCUUUCUUCUAUAGUGAAGAGAAUUGAACCCAGAGUAUCACUUGCAUAAGGAAACAAGACUGUUGGCUGCUCAUGCUUUCAUUGCAUUGAUUAGCUACUUCCUCAAUAUGGAGCCACCCUUGACAAAUGCAGCCAGAAUGUAAGUUUUCCUUCACCGACGGAAGUAGCUGUGGUAGAAGAAAGAUAAUUCUAGACUCUGAGGGUUUUUGGGGGGGUUUUGUUUCGUUUUUACAUUUCAUCACUUACAUUUCCUCAUUGUCUUACAAGAAUAACUCACUUCUCCCAGUUUCCAAGGUCAAGAAGAAAUAUCAGGAGAAAAUAACUCUCUAGCUCAAUUUUUGUAAUUCUCAUAUUCCACAUCUGGUGAUAAAAUCAUAUACUGCCACUUUUAAAGUUUAUGCUGACCAUCAAACUCCUUAUUUCCUUUCCUUAGGCAGAAGUCUCUGUGUCUGGUGGGUAAAUGAGAAGUAUGCAGAGGUAUGCCUAAGGAUAGUUUUAGGCAGAAGAGUGAUGUUUGCAUAAGUAUAUUUUUAUUUAAUCGACGAAAGAAGGUUGACACAAAAAUUACUUAAUAAUAGAAGAAAAAUCUGUAAAAAUAUAUCAAUUUCUCUUUGCUACUACCUCCCACAAUAACACAUACACAAAUUUCCUUCAGAGACAAACAGCAUAUUGUGCAGAAUUUGCUGUAACCAAGGUAACUAAACAUUGUUCUCAUAUCAACUUUUAAGACGAAAAAAACAGGCAUUGUUGUAUUGAAUGUUUCUUUGUAGUAGUGUUUAUUGCUAUGAUAUU